UCCUACGGGAGGCAGCAGUAGGGAAUCUUCCGCAAUGGACGAAAGUCUGACGGAGCAACGCCGCGUGAGGGAUGAAGGCCUCUGGGCUGUAAACCUCUUUUAUCAAGGAAGAAGAUCUGACGGUACUUGAUGAAUAAGCCACGGCUAAUUCCGUGCCAGCAGCCGCGGUAAUACGGGAGUGGCAAGCGUUAUCCGGAAUUAUUGGGCGUAAAGCGUCCGCAGGCGGUCUGUCAAGUCUGCUGUUAAAGCGUGGAGCUUAACUCCAUUUCGGCAGUGGAAACUGACAGACUAGAGCGUGGUAGGGGCAGAGGGAAUUCCCGGUGUAGCGGUGAAAUGCGUAGAUAUCGGGAAGAACACCAGUGGCGAAGGCGCUCUGCUGGGCCAUAACUGACGCUCAUGGACGAAAGCCAGGGGAGCGAAAGGGAUUAGAUACCCCUGUGGUCCUGGCCGUAAACGAUGAACACUAGGUGUCGGGGGAAUCGACCCCCUCGGUGUCGUAGCCAACGCGUUAAGUGUUCCGCCUGGGGAGUACGCACGCAAGUGUGAAACUCAAAGGAAUUGACGGA
rnacentral:rRNA from 1 species